AAGGACUGGGAAAGAUCACUCACCAAAUACUGUCACGGGCAAAACAUACUGGAAUUAGAGAUAUUAAUUGAAUUUAUUACUAACAAAAUCAGAGCAGGAUAAUGAGAA